ACGGGGUGCAGCAGGCGCGAAAACUUCGCACUGUGCGAAAGCACGACGAGGGAAUCCCAAGUGCUGGCUCGUAAGAGUCAGCUGUUUCUCUGUCUAAAAAACAGAGAGAGUAAGGGCUGGGUAAGACGGGUGCCAGCCGCCGCGGUAAUACCUGCAGCUCAAGUGGUGGCCGCUAUUAUUGGGCCUAAAACGUCCGUAGCCGGUUUCAUAAAUGCCUGGGUAAAUCGUACGGCUUAACCGUACGAAUUCCGGGUAGACUGUUUAACUUGAGACCGGGAGAGGCUAGAGGUACUCCUGGGGUAGAGGUGAAAUUCUGUAAUCCUAGGGGGACCACCAGUGGCGAAGGCGUCUAGCUAGAACGGGUCUGACGGUGAGGGACGAAGCCCUGGGGAGCAAACGGGAUUAGAUACCCCGGUAGUCCAGGGUGUAAACGCUGCUCGCUUGAUGUUAGUCGGGCUCCGAGCCCAACUAGUGUCGGAGAGAAGUUGUUAAGCGAGCUGCCUGGGGAGUACGGUCGUAAGACUGAAACUUAAAGGAAUUGGCGGGGGAGCAC
rnacentral:rRNA from 1 species